GCUUUUUUUUUUUCUCGAAAUGUAAUCUGAGACCGCGACCAGCCUAACCGAACUAUGUUUUUUUGCUCUCUCUUCGAUGUGUUUGCUCAUAUUUUGAAUCAAAUGAUAAAUCCCGUCACCCGUGUUUCUUGGCUGUGCAAAAGACCGAUCUUAUGGGAAACUCAAGCAAAACAAAGAGAGCGAGUCCGUAAAUGCUACAUGUUUGCGACAAAAAACAGCUUGUGUUCGGGCUCGAGACCUGUCAAAUCUUUUGCGUCAAAUCCAACAGUCAAUUUACACGGUAAAGCGACUCAAAUUUGCUUUACACAGCUGCCAAAAUCUUAGCCACAAAAGAAAGAUUUGUCUGACCACUAGAGCGCCAAAAGAGGAGAGUCUUUUGUUCGCUGAAUUAUUGUGGAUUUAAAGGGAUUUCUCUGCUACUGGAGCGGGGAAAACAGUCAAAGAAGGCAUUUGCCCGUAGGCCUUGAAACCGAUGUUAUAUUGGGAAGUUGGUUAAAAACAUGGAUAAAUUCUAUGGCGAAAACCGACCCCCCUAGCGCGAGCAAGCUUCGAAUAAUUGGACGGAAUAAUGGGAACCUGUGAGAAAAUAGCAGAUGAAGAGGCCCCGUGGAUCUAAUCAAGGCUGCGUUGUCAAGCAAACGAAUUACGCCGUUUUAAAGCACAGAUUUUCGUUUGUGCUUGGCUGUAAAUACAGCAAAUCCUCUGCCAUUUUUAACGACUGUCGGACAGAAUUGUCUUCAUAACAAUUGAGGAGUUGCACUUAUAUUUUGUUUUACUUCACUGGGAUUAUGGCAAACUUAUAAUUAGAAAAUAAAAAUUGCAUGACCCUUCAGAAAAAAAAUGAAUAUUUUCGCUAGCGCUAUUUGGACCCAAGCACUACUGUGAACCCAUGCACGCUGGCUUGUGUUCGUGAGAUCUCUAAACAAAAUCUUGAUUUAAAAAUAGGUACCAAGCGGACUUAGAUUUUCAAGAGAUAAAAAGAAAGACACAAAAGAUAACGUAAGAUAAGUAUGGAAUCCGGUAAUGAAUAUGACAUGGUCUCGCGUGCGGCCACUUCGUCCAGCCCAUCUAUUAAAUAUUCCACGAGCCCACUCGCGCCACAACUGCUUUAAUUAGUGCAUCCAUUUUCUUUAGUCCUAAACGACUUCAAUUGCCUGGAUUCUUCCCGUUCUUUAGAGGCGCACUAUAGGCCAGGCGCGGGUGAGCCCUCACAGGCAAACCUCAAUCUGUACAAAAGCACAGGUAAAAAUUGGCAUAUGGUUAUACAGCGAUAACUAGAGAUUGGUAUGAAUAAUAGAAAAGCAAUAGUAGAAUUGUAAACAAACUGUCCUUUAAAGACUGCACAGAGCUUGAUAAUUCGAGAAUCGCAUACUUAACUGUCACUAUUCAAAAAGAACUUCGCUAGAUAUAUUUUGUGUUGUUAAAUAAAAACGUGCCUACAAAUCAUGAAAUGUUAGCUCGGUUAUGUUAUCACAGGCAGCACUUGGAAAAUCCGUUUUUAUGCGCCGACUACGUGCUACACACAGCAGCAGCUCUAACUCUCCGUGCGCCAAGCAAAUCAUACUUAAACGCAUUGUGUGACAGAGUCACAGUAUCUGCGUUUGUUAUGGUACGCAAAAUAUAAAAGAAUGAAGUAUUGGGAAAAAAGUUGUUGUUUGUAGCAGGCGCGUACCCGUGGUGCGCAUGCGGUCACUCAACAUCCAUAGUCUCCUCCUUUUCAGCCGUCCGCGUUUGUCGGUCAGGAAACGGAGCGCUUUCGCGACUGACAAACGCGGACGGCUGCAAGGGAGACCCAGGCACGUCCAAGCAUUAGCAGCUAAAGCGUUUCUGUGAAGUUUCAGCGGAAAUAGAAACCGGAGCUACGGAAGUUAAAAGAGAAGGAAACAUUGCAUCAGAAAAAUGCGGGCAACAGUUUCUUCCCGCUCUUCGUCCCCAUUCUCCGCGCAGCCAUACUCUUCGCUUCUGUAUUUCCGGCUGAACAACAGGCUAGACAAAACACGAUACGUGGUGACAAAACACGAUACGUUGUGACAAAACGCGAUACGUUGUGACUCUUUAGUUUGUAGUAAACUAUGGAGUUAAAGUGAGCCCUUCCUCUCUACUAUGAAAUAAAAUCUUAAAAAUAUCAA